AGAGCACAGGGUGGAUGCCUAGGCACUGAGAGCCGAUGAAGGACGUGAUAAGCUGCGAAAAGCCACGGGGAGGAGCAAAUAUCCUUUGAGCCGUGGAUAUCCGAAUGGGGGAACCCACUUAAGUAAACCUUAAGUACUGACAAGCCAAUACAUAACUUGCCAGAGGGAACCCGGGGAACUGAAACAUCUAAGUACCCGGAGGAAGAGAAAGAAACAUCGAUUUCCUUAGUAGCGGCGAGCGAAAGGGAAAGAGCCCAAACCGAGAGAUUUAUCUUUCGGGGUUAGGACUGCAUAAUUGAUCUGCGAUUGAUAGGAGAAUGGUCUGGGAAGUCCAGCAGGAAAGCGUGAAAGCCGCGUAUCCGAAAUUGAAAGCAGCAAGGCAGUAUCCAGAGUACCACGAGACACGAGGAACCUUGUGGGAAUGAGCGGAGACCACUCCGUAAGGCUAAAUACUACUCAGUGACCGAUAGCGCAUAGUACUGUGAAGGAAAGGUGAAAAGGACCCCGGGAGGGGAGUGAAAGAGAACCUGAAACCCUGUGUUUACAAGCUGUCGGAGCACGUUAGUGCGACGGCGUACUUUUUGUAGAACGGUCCGGCGAGUUAUGAUACGCGGUAAGGUUAAGGACUUAAGGUCCGGAGCCGAAGCGAAAGCGAGUGUUAAGAGCACGAGGAAUCACGUAUCAUAGACCCGAAACCGGGUGAUCUAUCCAUGUCCAGGAUGAAGCUGCCGUAAGAGGUAGUGGAGGUCCGAACACACAUCCGUUGAAAAGGGUGGUGAUGAGGUGUGGAUAGGGGAGAAAUUCCAAUCGAACCCGGAGAUAGCUGGUUCUCCUCGAAAUAGCUUUAGGGCUAGCCUUCAGUUAGUCUGCCGCAGGUAGAGCACUGAAUUUCCUAGGGGGCGUCAAAGCCUACCGAAGAAUAUCAAACUCCGAAUGCCAUACAGAUGAUGUACGGGAGUCAGACGGCACGAGAUAAGUUGGGUCGUCAAAAGGGAAAGAGCCCAGACCUGCAGCUAAGGUCCCAAAGUGUGUGUUAAGUGGAAAAGGAUGUGGGAUUUCAAAGACAACUAGGAUGUUGGCUCAGAAGCAGCCACACAUUCAAAGAGUGCGUAAUAGCUCACUAGUCGAGAGGUCCUGCGCCGAAAAUGUCCGGGGCUGAAACACACUACCGAAGCUUGGGAAUUGACGAAUGUUAAUUGGUAGAGGAGCAUUCUUAACGGGGCGAAGCUGUACCGGAAGGAGCAGUGGACUGUUAAGAAGAGAGAAUGCCGGAAUGAGUAGCGAGAGGAAGGUGAGAAUCCUUCCGGCCGAAUAUCUAAGGUUUCCAGAGUAAAGCUGAUCUGCUCUGGGUAAGUCGGGGCCUAAGGCGAGGUCGAAAGACGUAGUCGAUGGAUAACAGGUUGAAAUUCCUGUACUAUCCUGUAACAGAACUGUGGGGACACAGGCAGAGAGCGUGAGCCGGGAAUGGAAAGACCGGUACAAGCGAGGUAGGAGUCUGGUUGGCAAAUCCGCCAGGCAAUCUGAAGACGUGAUGUGGACUGAAAAUAAGUAGGGAAGCACGUGAGCUGACUGUCAAGAAAAGCCGCUAUUGUUUGCAGGAUACCCGUACCGUAAACCGACACAGGUGGAUGAGGAGAGAAUCCUAAGGCCGACGGGAGAAGCAUUGUUAAGGAACUCGGCAAAAUGACUCCGUAACUUCGGGAGAAGGAGUGCCAUGUAAAAGUGGCCGCAGAGAAUUGGCCCAAGCAACUGUUUAGCAAAAACACAGGUCUAUGCAAAACCGAAAGGUGAGGUAUAUGGGCUGACGCCUGCCCGGUGCUGGAAGGUUAAGGGGAGAGGUUAGCGCAAGCGAAGCUUUGAACUUAAGCCCCAGUAAACGGCGGCCGUAACUAUAACGGUCCUAAGGUAGCGAAAUUCCUUGUCGGGUAAGUUCCGACCCGCACGAAAGGCGUAAUGAUUUGGGCACUGUCUCAACAAUGCACCCGGUGAAAUUGAAAUACCAGUGAAGAUGCUGGUUACCUGCGCCAGGACGGAAAGACCCCAUGGAGCUUUACUCCAGCUUGAUACUGGGAUUCGAUAUUGCAUGUACAGGAUAGGUGGGAGACUGAGAACUGAUGACGCCAGUUGUCAGGGAGUCACUGUUGGGAUACCACCCUUGUAGUAUUGGAUUUCUAACCAGCAGCCGUGAUCCGGCUGGGGGACAAUGUCAGGUGGGGAGUUUGACUGGGGCGGUCGCCUCCGAAAGGGUAUCGGAGGCGCUCAAAGGU
rnacentral:rRNA from 1 species